UACGUAGGGUGCAAGCGUUGUCCGGAAUUAUUGGGCGUAAAGAGCUCGUAGGCGGUCUGUCGCGUCGGAUGUGAAAACCCAGGGCUCAACCCUGGGCCUGCAUUCGAUACGGGCAGACUAGAGUUCGGUAGGGGAGACUGGAAUUCCCGGUGUAGCGGUGAAAUGCGCAGAUAUCAGGAGGAACACCGGUGGCGAAGGCGGGUCUCUGGGCCGAAACUGACGCUGAGGAGCGAAAGCGUGGGGAGCAAACAGG
rnacentral:rRNA from 1 species